ensembl:lncRNA
CCCACAGCUCGUAAACAACUUCUGAAACGCGGCGCGCGCGAGAGAGGCCAUUUAACCGAGCGAGCCUCUCUUCAUCAUGAGGAAGAGGAGCACAGCCAGCAGCCCUCCAACCACCAACAUCUACAGACAUACUGUCAGGACAGAAGUGCAGCUGAUUAUUCUUAUCUGGUUGGAGAAGCACAGCUCUUCACUCUGACUCUCCACAGAGAAAACAGUUCACUAGGAUUCAGAAUCACAGGAGGAGAAAGUGUCCAGACAUGUCCGGGAGCUGCAGGGAUAUUUGUGUCUCAUGUAACUGCAGGAGGAGCAGCAGACGGAGAGGAUGGGCUGCAGGUUCAGGACAGAAUAGUUGAGCGCACAGACAUUUGGAGUUUAGCUGCACAUGAGCAUCAUGAACGACGUGUCCUGAUUUGGUGUCGUAUUCACACAGUCGACUUCGAAUCACUUCAAAAGACCCACAUGAUAAGAAAUAACUGGGUUAGUG